rnacentral:rRNA from 1 species
CCUGUAGUCGAAAGUUUAUUCUCUCUUGAGUGGAUCCUGAGUACGACGGAGCACGUGAAAUUCCGUCGGAAUCUGGGAGGACCAUCUCCUAAGGCUAAAUACUCUCUAGUGACCGAUAGUGAACCAGUACCGUGAGGGAAAGGUGAAAAGUACCCCGGAAGGGGAGUGAAAUAGAACUUGAAACCCGUGUGCUUACAAGUAGUCAGAGCCCGUUAAUGGGUGAUGGCGUGCCUUUUGUAGAAUGAACCGGCGAGUUACGAUUUGAUGCAAGGUUAAGCAGUGAAUGUGGAGCCGUAGCGAAAGCGAGUCUGAAUAGGGCGUUGAGUAUUUGGUCGUAGACCCGAAACCAGGUGAUCUACCCAUGACCAGGCUGAAGUUCAGGUAACACUGAAUGGAGGGCCGAACCGACUUACGUUGAAAAGUGAGCGGAUGAGUUGUGGGUAGCGGAGAAAUUCCAAUCGAACCUGGAGAUAGCUGGUUCUCUCCGAAAUAGCUUUAGGGCUAGCCUCAAGUGAUGAUUAUUGGAGGUAGAGCACUGUUUGGACGAGGGGCCCUUCUCGGGUUACCGAAUUCAGACAAACUCCGAAUGCCAAUCAAUUUAACUUGGGAGUCAGAACGCGGGUGAUAAGGUCCGUGUUCGAAAGGGAAACAGCCCAGACCACCAGCUAAGGUCCCAAAAUAUAUGUUAAGUGGAAAAGGAUGUGGCGUUGCCCAGACAACUAGGAUGUUGGCUUAGAAGCAGCCAUCAUUUAAAGAGUGCGUAAUAGCUCACUAGUCGAGUGACACUGCGCCGAAAAUGUACCCGGGGCUAAACAUAUUACCGAAGCUGUGGAUUGUCCGUAGGACAAUGGUAGGAGAGCGUUCUAAGGGCGUUGAAGCAUGAUCGCAAGGACAUGUGGAGCGCUUAGAAGUGAGAAUGCCGGUGUGAGUAGCGAAAGACGGGUGAGAAUCCCGUCCACCGAUUGACUAAGGUUU